GCGGGUGUGACUGAGUGGUUGAGGUACCGGCCUGCAAAGCCGUUCACACGGGUUCGAAUCCCGUCACUCGCUCGA
rnacentral:tRNA from 10 species